rnacentral:lncRNA from 1 species
ACAACCCUAGAACGUGAAGUUUUAGCUCCACAAAGACAUGGUAGCCAAACAACAAAUCAUACAAAUAAACAUAAAAAAAUACUAAGUUUGAUGGAAGAAAAGAUGAAACCCGGCCUCCACGGUGGCUCUAUGCUCUCCCUAGGUCGAAUUCCCUUCAAAAAGUAUGUUAGAUCACCUAAAAGAGGCGUUUUUGGCUUAUAUAGUGCGUACAAAAGUCGUGGGCUAAAGUUCUCCUAUUCCUAGUCCGACUCAGCUUCAGGGAUUGAUGUUGGGUCCUCCGCUUCUCAGCUUCGCAUGCACCUACCCUUUGUUCCUCCAUCUCAGCCUUGCCCAGGUGCGGAUGCUAUGGAGAUGCUAUGGGCCGACUUCACUGCUAAGGGGUGCAUCAAGUAACCUUUUCUCCUCUAGUUGGAGCAUCUUUUCUUCAUAUUUUUGCACUCCAAACACCCUAAAUCAUCACACACAACUCAAUUAGUCAUAAAACCAAUAAUUAAACCAUGUUGGGCAUUUUUAACACCAAAUAGCAACAAAAAGCGGUUAAAACAUAGGUAAAGUAACAUCAAAACAUAUAAAAAUAUACCCAACAUCAGUGACACUUAGCCAAACAGUAAAAACCGUUUUCUAUGGUUGCUAUGUUUUCACUCUACACGACCUUUUCACCAGAAGCUCUAAAAGUGUGCUUUGACUGUGCAAAUUUUCUGCUUUGUUCCAACGAAUUUCAACUUUCGUUUGUCCAAACUUAAAGAAACAGAUAGGAUAUAUAUUUCUUUAAAAUAGAAAACUUGGUGUUUCAAAAAGGUAAAAAGAGGGAGGGAGGAAAGGAUAAAAGAAGCAACGCAAGUGAAAG